rnacentral:lncRNA from 1 species
UGCAACUUUUCUUAGUUUCUGUUUGCUCAAUUGAAUUUACACAGUUACAUCGUGUGUUUGGUUCCCUCAGGGUCCCAUCGCGUUGAGCCAGUAGGAGGAAGCGGGUGUGGCUCCAGUUUUGCAGUGUAAGACCUCAACCAAUGACAUCAAAGCAAAGAGAGAUAGCUGCAGCCUUAACUGAUAGGAACAUCAACACGGUUGAAAAGAGUGAAUAUUCUACCGGUCUCCCGUUUUUUUCUCCUCCGAUAUUUCAAUAUAUGAAUCUACAAAUUGCAAUGAGCGGUUUUUCUGUUCUCCUCUUGCUUUCGGUCUCGUGUGGCGUUUUCUGAGCGCGUCACCACCUUUUUUUGAAUCAUCGUCUUCAAAACAAUGCCCUGUGCAGUAUUUUCAAAAAUGGGGGCAGAGGGUGCAGAUGCAGAAGGGGCAAAGGUAUUUCAAUGGUUCAAAUAUUUGAUUGUUAAUGACAAACACCAUUUCAACACAAUUUAAAUUUCAAAUUGAUCCCUGGGGGCAAGUAUUUCAAGGGGGGGAGAGGAACAUACCCCAAGGUCACUGCUCCACAAUUUGCUGAUUUAAGUUGAAAGAAAACCUUUUUUUCUGCAGAACUAUCACAAGAGAACUGCAGCGCCUGCAUCUGCUUAGAGCCAGCCCAACCUGGGGAUGUUGCUGGAGAGUGAGAAAAAAUAAAACAUAAAAAGAAAAAAAUAACACUUUGUCUAAUUCUAUAUUUAUAUAGCCCUCAGCUUGAGGUAUUCACAUAAAACAGUUUGUAUUGAGAAGUGCUGCGGUGAUCGUUAUGCUGCAUGUAGAGAUCGGCAACUCUUCGGGCACGGUUGGCGGGAGCAGCUCUGCCUGAUUCAUUUGAAUUAAAGUUACCCAACUAAAUAAAAUGGAUUCAAAUUCCCACUUUUAUUCUCUGCAAAACUUUUCUGGCUAUUUUUUCUUUUUUUCUAAGAAUCCACAAGCAUUUCUUUUGAUGAAACAGUUUGCACAUUUACUGUCUUUGCAUACAUGUCUGUAUUUUCUAUUUGCCCAACUUCAUUUGUUUGAUGUUGAAAUGUAAUUAUGUCUUGUAGACGGUGGAAGAGCUUGGUGUUCUGAUGUUUUUUUGAUGUGUGUACCUGGAGCAUUUUCACAAGAAAAAUAUAAUCGUAAAUAUUAAAUCUCAAUGCUACUACAACUUUAUUCCAAGCUGUGUUGUGGCAUACACAAAACUAA